rnacentral:rRNA from 1 species
UUGAACGCUGGCGGCAUGCUUUACACAUGCAAGUCGAACGGCAGCGGGGAGGAGCUUGCUUCUCUGCCGGCGAGUGGCGAACGGGUGAGUAAUACAUCGGAACGUGUCGAGAAGAGGGGGAUAACCACCCGAAAGGGUGGCUAAUACCGCAUAAAUUCUGAGGAAGAAAGCUGGGGACCUAGGAAUAGGCCUAGCGCUUUUUGAGCGGCCGAUGUCGGAUUAGCUAGUUGGUGAGGUAAAGGCUCACCAAGGCGAAGAUCUGUAGCGGGUCUGAGAGGAUGAUCCGCCACACUGGGACUGAGAGACGGCCCAGACUCCUACGGGAGGCAGCAGUGGGGAAUUUUGGACAAUGGGGGCAACCCUGAUCCAGCCAUGCCGCGUGUAUGAAGAAGGCCUUAGGGUUGUAAAGUACUUUUGUUAGGGAAGAAAAGUCAGCUGUGAAUAAUGGCUGAUACUGACGGUACCUAAAGAAUAAGCACCGACUAACUACGUG